UAAGGGCUCACCAAGGCGACGAUCCCUAGCUGGUCUGAGAGGAUGAUCAGCCACACUGGAACUGAGACACGGUCCAGACUCCUACGGGAGGCAGCAGUGGGGAAUAUUGCACAAUGGGCGCAAGCCUGAUGCAGCCAUGCCGCGUGUGUGAAGAAGGCCUUCGGGUUGUAAAGCACUUUCAGUCGUGAGGAAGGUAGUGUAGUUAAUAGCUGCAUUAUUUGACGUUAGCGACAGAAGAAGCACCGGCUAACUCCGUGCCAGCAGCCGCGGUAAUACGGAGGGUGCGAGCGUUAAUCGGAAUUACUGGGCGUAAAGCGCAUGCAGGUGGUUUGUUAAGUCAGAUGUGAAAGCCCGGGGCUCAACCUCGGAAUAGCAUUUGAAACUGGCAGACUAGAGUACUGUAGAGGGGGGUAGAAUUUCAGGUGU
rnacentral:rRNA from 2 species